AGCUUCUGCAAUUGGAAACCCAGAUUUUGCUUUUGCAAAAAAUGGAGGUUAAGGUCGAUUCUACGUUGAAGGAAAAUAAAGGAGAAACAAUGGGAGGUGAACUGCAGACCGAAGAAGAUAAAGUUUCUCUGCAUUUAAAUAAGAAACGAACCGUCAAAACACCAUCCCAGGUUAUGGCCCUGGAGAACUUCUAUAAAGAGGACAGAUUUCCUUCAGAUGAAAUGAAAGAGAAACUGGCUGUUCAAAUAGGGUUGACACAAAAGCAGAUAGCUAGUUGGUUUUGUCAUAGAAGGUUAAAAGACAAAAGGAGAGAUGACUCGUAUGCUAAUGGGCAACAUGAUCAUUCUAGUGGUGUUAUCCAGGAUCAUGUUAGUGGGCUCAGGCAAGAUUCUAGUGGCAGUAUUAAACAGGGUGAUUACAGGUAUAUUGAUCCGAGGGUGGUAGAAAGUCGAAGGAUUUUUGGCCAAUGGUUUCCAGUUACUGACCUGACGUAUGAGCAUAGAUGUCACCAAAAUCCAUAUGAUGUUCAGAUGGAGGAUACAUCUUCUGAAAGUGGUUUGUCUUUACAUGAUCAGCUUUUUUCUGAAACUGGGAAUCCUUAUGACAUGUGCCAUUCAGCUAAACUUACAAAAAAUGGAGCAAUUGUGCAUACUAAUCCGAGUUCUAAAAGCAUGGGUUAUAAGCCAUCUGGAUAUUUGAAGGUUAAGGGUGUGAGCGAGAAUCAUGUCAUUAUUGCUGUUAAGAGGCAGCUGGGAAGGCAUUAUCGAGAAGAUGGUCCAGUACUUAGUAUUCAGUUUGAUCCACUUCCUCCUGGUGCAUUUGAGUUCCCAAGUAGCCAUCCACUCAAUGAGCUAAUCAGUGUUAGAGGUUCCCAACAGGAUUGCUAUCCAGAUAUCUCUGGAGUGAUGAAGCAGCCUAAGCCUAAGAUUAUUAAUGAAGUACAUAAUACCAUGGUGAGUUCUCAGGAUUCAUGCAUGAAGGGUGAAAACUUCAACAUUGUGCAUGGGUCUGAAAGUCAGGGCUGGAAAUCUCAUCAUGAACCAAAACAUAAGCCUUCUUUUUCUUGUUCAAACCCUUUUCCUAGGCAGGACCCUCCUGUAGAUAUCUACAAAGUUUAUGCUGACAAACCUGCUGUCAAUGAUUGUCAACGAAGUAGGAUGAGCUCUAAGCUUGCUGUUGGAAGGAUGGUGUCGGAUUCUUUUUCUAAUUAUCCUGUCUUCUAUAGUGAGAAAAUUACUAAUGAACAAGAAAGUCCUGGGUCACAUGAUAAUGAAACUCAUACCUACAUAGCCCCGAAAAGCCUGCCUAAAACUUCAAAUUUGAUAAGUGCAUGCAGUGAGUCCUUGGGUGCUGAUAGAGUGAAAUUUGUGAGGACGGCAAAGGUGGAGAAUGUUGGUGGCGAGUGGAAUCUGAGAAAGGAUUACCCUGUCAGAAUAAAAGUUGAUGCAACAAAUGAAUUGAGAAUUUGAAGGUCACCAAACAAGUUGAUAUUGAAUUUUGUCAACAAGAUUUUGUGGCAAACGCAUUCCAUGCUAGAUUGCAUGUGUCGAAAAAUCCUAGUAAAGGAUCUUCCAUGGAUGUACCGAGUAGCUUGAGCGAGGAUGAAAUUGCAGAAACUAGUUUAUCCUCUCGGAUUGACUAUGCUUACGGUUGAAGGAUUGUCCAUUUUUCAAGAGGCUCAAGGGGUUGUAAAAAGAUGUACAAAUGAUGGCGUGACAGGAAAACUACUGCUAGGGAGAGCAUUGGGGGCAGUAUUUUGUUCAUUGUAUUAUGUCCUUAAAUAGUGCUCACCUGUUAACGU